rnacentral:rRNA from 1 species
UGGGCGCAAGCCUGAUCCAGCCAUGCCGCGUGAGUGAUGAAGGCCCUAGGGUCGUAAAGCUCUUUCGCCAGGGAUGAUAAUGACAGUACCUGGUAAAGAAACCCCCGGCUAACUCCGUGCCAGCAGCCGCGGUAAUACGGGAGGGGGUUAGCGUUGUUCGGAAUUACUGGGCGUAAAGCGCGCGUAGGCGGACUGGAAAGGUUGGGGUGAAAUCCCCGGGGCUCAACCCCGGAACUGCCUACCAAAACUCCCAGUCUUGAGUUCGAGAGAGGUGAGUGGAAUUCGAGUGUAGAGGUGAAAUUCGUAGAUAUUCGGAGGAACACCAGUGGCGAAGGCGGCUCACUGGCUCGAUACUGACGCUGAGGUGCGAAAGUGUGGGGAGCAAACAGGAUUAGAUACCCUGGUAG